CAAUAGCGUAUAUUAAAGUUGUUGCAGUUAAAAAGCUCGUAGUUGGAUUUCUGGUGGGAGCGAUCGGUCUGGCGCUUAGCGCGAGUACUUGCAUCGUCUCCGGCCAUCCUUGGGGAGAGUCUGUCUGGCAUUAGGUUGUCGGGCAGAGGAUCCUCAUCGUUUACUGUGAAAAAAUUAGAGUGUUCAAGGCAGGCUUAUGCCGUUGAAUAUAUUAGCAUGGAAUAAUAAGAUAGGACUUUGGUACUAUUUUGUUGGUUUGCGCACCAAAGUAAUGAUUAAUAGGGACAGUUGGGGGUAUUCGUAUUCCGUUGUCAGAGGUGAAAUUCUUGGAUUUACGGAAGACGAACUACUGCGAAAGCAUUUACCAAGGAUGUUUUCAUUAA
rnacentral:rRNA from 1 species